CAUGCCGCGUGUGUGAAGAAGGCCUUCGGGUUGUAAAGCACUUUCAGCGAGGAGGAAGGGGUUGUAGUUAAUAGCUGCAAUUUUUGACGUUACUCGCAGAAGAAGCACCGGCAACUCCGUGCCAGCCACGUCGGUGACUGAGCGGGCUGGCAAGGCGCAUA
rnacentral:rRNA from 1 species